GGGCCCGCGCCGGUGCGGCACUAGAUCUGUCAAAUCGGGUGGCAGGGGUUCAACUCCCCUCGGGUCCA
rnacentral:tRNA from 1 species